rnacentral:tRNA from 1 species
GCGCUCAUAGCUCAGCUGGAUAGAGCACUUGGCUACGAACUAAGGGGUCGGGAGUUCGAAUCUCUCUGGGCGCACCA